rnacentral:ncRNA from 1 species
UGGUGAUAUCUCCUAACCACUAUCAAAGGAGAUACUCGGCCGUACUGUGGGUGAAAAACACCUUAGACACGCUUGUUGUCAAGAGUACGGUGUGAGGACGGGUUAGAUGCCCA